rnacentral:lncRNA from 1 species
UUUUUUUUGUAGGUAUAUAUACAAUUGGUUAGAGACUCGUGCUGAUAACAUGUUAUGAAAUAAAAGCAAUUUAGUAAAACAUGAACAAGAAAUAGAGAUAGAGAGAAGGAAGAGAUUUUCUUCUUCAAUUGUGUGUAUUUUCCUAUCUAUUACAAGACCUUUAUAUAGGCAUGAAAAAUGAAGAAAAUAUGUCAUGGAAUAUGUCAUUAACCAUUUGAGAGAAAGAUCAUGGAGGAAGAGUAGACAUCCACCAUAUUUUGAUUUUUAUCAUAACAAUCUUAAACUUUUACAGAAUAGUAAUAAUAAUAAUACCGUGAAUAAUUCAGCACAAGAUACAGGUAGGUUUAGGUAUUAGGAGCGGUGGCGGAGCUACCUUAUCACUAAAGGUGUCAAGUCACACUCCUUUGUCCAGAGAAUUAUAUUGUGUACCUGGGUAAAUUUUUUAAACGUAUAUAUUACUUACUAUAUCUUGAUUUCCCUUCACUUUUUCGUAUGUUUACUUUUUUAUAUUUUGACACCCCUUAGUGAAAAUUUUAACUCUGACACUAAUUACCACGAACAAAUUUGUAUGCUUAGGAGAUUUUGGAGCCAAUCAACAGAAUUUAUUCUCUAAAAAAUUGAUUUAUAAAUGACAAUGAGCUUUGAACCCUCAAGAAAGUUAAUAAAUGGGCAUGACUAAUUUUCAUUUAAAAAGAAUGUCAAAAGAAGGUUUAAUUUUUACAAGUUAUCCUAAUUUUUAAGUGCAUAUUUUAAUAAAGUAGGGAAAAAUGGAUGAUCUUGAAUUAUUUCAAGUUGAAUCAAUUUGGCUAACAAUAUUCUAAGAAAAGAAUAUCUUUAAUGGAAAGAAUGAUAAUUUAAUUAAAAGUUGAAUCAACAAUUUGGAAUGCUGAUGCUCUAUGCACUACAACAGGAAUAUGUUCUGAUAAAGUGGAUUGAUAAUAUUUCAGCCUUUUUGCUGUAUUAUAAUUGAACAAGAGAUUCCAUAUCAUUGUCAAAUAAUAUGUUCCAAGUUCUUGAAACUAGAUAAAUCGUGUUAUCAGACAAUCAAAUUAUAUAUUUCAAGUAAUUAGUUUCACUUCUUAUGAGCAAUUACGUGUAGUCAAGGAUGGAGCUAGGGAAUCGCAAGAGGUUCAUCUAAAUUCCCUUUUUAUGUAUAUAUGUUAGAUGUUAAAUCACUUUGAAUUUUUCACGUAUUCAUGUUUUUUAAUCUCCUAUGUGAAAAUUCUACCCUCUACUACUACUUUUUUUUUUCUCUUUUACAUGAUUUGACAAUAUAAGUAACAUUUAACAUUGUCAUUAUAUAUAAGUUAAACUCAAAACCAGAAACAAAAGAAGAAAAAUAUAUGGCAUAAUUCAGAAGUUCACUAUAAGUUGGCUACAAUAUUUUUGAUGUAUUGAAUAAGACUAGGUUAUUAGCAAAAAAAAAAAAAACAAAAAAAAAAAAAGGAAAGACUUGGCGAUAGUGUCACAAGAGCUUACACUAAAACUUAAGCUGCUACCAACUCAACUAUUUUAGUAUGUAUUUGCUAUUUCGCACUAGCAUAAAUAUCGAGUUGCUAUCUCCCAUCAACAGAGGAAUAAGUCUAAACCAUAUGAAAUAACCACAAGGUCGAAGGUCAAGCCCUUCUUCUAGCGAAUAGCUUCCUAAUAAAUAAAUUAUUUUAAAAAAAUUAUGAAAAGAAUUCAUUUAAUGUUUAUUUGUUUAUCGAUUCGAAUUUGAAUCUUAAUUUCUAAAAUUUUCUUUGUUUAUAUACCCAUUUUGUAAUCUGUUAACUGUCCAUUUUACCACCUCUAAAUAUGAGAAUACUAUCCAAGCUAGUUGAUGAGCUAAACGGACAUUUGUAUACGAAAAAAGCUGUUGUUUUACACCAUACUAUCUUCCAUAAAAUAAUGGAUUCAUAUCAUUAUUGAAAAUGAAAGAUAACGAAGUUUCCACUAACCAAUUUGGUCGUUAUCUCAAGUCUAUCUCUAACUAUGGUCACAGGAAAAGGAUGGAGAUAUAUUCCACUUUUUAUCACUCACUUCCAUUUUUUGGUACACAAGGCAAUUUGAAUCCCUAUGAAAAUUGUACUGAUCAGUGCAUUAAGCUCCCGUUAUGGGUACUGAUCAGUGCAUUAAGCUCCCGUUAUGGGUGAAGUCCGUAGAAAGGCCAAACCACAAAAGUCUAUCGUAUGUUGCCUUACCUUGCAUUUCUACAAGAGACUGUUUCCACGGCUCGAACCCGUAACCUCCUGACCACAUGACAACAACUUUACUAGUUACAUCAAGGCUCCCCUUCACUAAUAUGCAACCAAACGUGAUGAAAAUAUAUUUGUUAUAAUGAUCCAACUAGGUCCAAAAUCACUUCUAAGUUGCCAACUACAGAAUAAGCAAAGUUGUAGGCAAUAAAUGUAAAAAGAAUUGAAGUGAGCUAGUCACUCAGCUCUUACAAUUUGAAGUUUCAAUGUCAAAAAAAAUUCAGCAAAAACUUGAACUUCAGCUACGAAUGGACCUAAUUUCUACACCAUUCUUUAACUAUACCAGUCUCCACCAAUAAUUACCAAAACUUAUUUCAAAAAAAGAAUAGGAAACUAAUCUUAACGGCCCACGCCAAGAUCAUAUGAGGAGGUUGUAACAGGUAUCGUUAACUACUGUAAAUCAGAAGGUUUCGUCUUAACCAGCAACUCUACCACAAGCCGAUGGCCUUCCACCAAAUUCCUCCGACUCCAAGCCAGAUAAUAAGGUUGACUAUAGAAAUUAUGAACCCGUAUCCCCACCAUUUCGCGAGGGGGACAUAGUUUGCACCGUAGAAUACAGGUGCUGAUCCGAUUCCAUAGUGAGUAAUGCCACCCAUAAGGUUCGACAGGAAAGAGAGCACCAACGCUCCCAAAUACGGUGGAGUACCUAGUGCACUAGCAACGGAUAAGAAUGCUGUGAACAUUGCUCCGAUAUGAGCAGCUCCACUUGCGAAGAAGUAGUGAGAGUAGAAGUACAGAAGAACAAGAAUUC